UUCCCGCCACACUGGGCGGUGGCCCAGGGCCAAAGUCGGGGUUCUAGACCUGCUCCCCUCCGGCAAGGCCAAGCCUGACAGCCGCUGGUACGGCCAUGUCCUCCUUGGGCCAGGCACUAAAAACUCAAGAGUCAGGCUCUUGCUCUCCUAAGAUUAGCUAGAAAAUCAGGAGGGUGUUUUAAAGAAACAACGUGGUUCUUUAAAUGUGCCAGUGGGGGCUGAGCCUUGUCCCAUUCUUCAUGCUACCAGGCUGGCCAUCUACACCAAAGCUACCCUCGGGGGAUCCAUCACCACCAUUCUGUAAGGAGGCUGCUCACACCACCCCCAUGCUGAAGUCUGUGCUAGGAAGGCAGCAUUUGGGUUCCACCCACGCCCCGGCUGCAGUGACGGUGACAGGGACGCUCAGUGGCAGAAGUCCAAGUGCCAGUGAGCGUUCUGUAAACACAACAGGCAGACAAAUGGGAACCAACUCCAGAUUAUCCCUGAGAUGGAAAGAUCUUCAAAUUAAGUAAUCUGUACAUGCACCAAUUUUAGAAAUACACAUUUUUAAAAUAAAUUGAAAUAGUUUUGUGUUAUUAA